rnacentral:rRNA from 1 species
CCUACGGGCGGCAGCAGUGGGGAAUAUUGGACAAUGGGGGCAACCCUGAUCCAGCCAUGCCGCGUGUGUGAAGAAGGCCCUCGGGUUGUAAAGCACUUUCAGUGAGGAAGAACGCCUGGUGGUUAAUACCCAUCAGGAAAGACAUCACUCACAGAAGAAGCACCGGCUAACUCCGUGCCAGCAGCCGCGGUAAUACGGAGGGUGCGAGCGUUAAUCGGAAUUACUGGGCGUAAAGCGCGCGUAGGUGGCUUGAUAAGCCGGUUGUGAAAGCCCCGGGCUCAACCUGGGAACGGCAUCCGGAACUGUCAAGCUAGAGUGCAGGAGAGGAAGGUAGAAUUCCCGGUGUAGCGGUGAAAUGCGUAGAGAUCGGGAGGAAUACCAGUGGCGAAGGCGGCCUUCUGGACUGACACUGACACUGAGGUGCGAAAGCGUGGGUAGCAAGCAGGAUAGAUACCCUUGUAGUC